rnacentral:misc_RNA from 1 species
GAUGAAGAACCCAGCGAAAUGCGAUAAGUAGUGUGAAUUGCAGAAUUCAGUGAAUCAUCGAAUCUUUGAACGCACAUUGCGCCCCUUGGUAUCCCGAGGGGCAUGCCUGUUCGAGCGUCAUUUCACCACUCAAGCCUGGCUUGGUGUUGGGCGACGUCCUCUUUGGGGACGCGCCUCGAAACGCUCGGCGGCGUGGCACCGGCUUUAAGCGUAGCAGAAUCUUUCGCUUUGGAAGUCGGGGCCCCGUCUGCCGGAAGACCUGCUCGCAAGGUUGACCUCGGAUCAGGCAGGGAUACCCGCUGAACUUAAGCAUAUCAAUAAGCGGAGGA